CAGCAGCCGCGGUAAUACAGAGGGUGCGAGCGUUAAUCGGAUUUACUGGGCGUAAAGCGUGCGUAGGCGGCUUCUUAAGUCGGAUGUGAAAUCCCUGAGCUUAACUUAGGAAUUGCAUUCGAUACUGGGAAGCUAGAGUAUGGGAGAGGAUGGUAGAAUUCCAGGUGUAGCGGUGAAAUGAGUAGAGAUCUGGAGGAAUACCGAUGGCGAAGGCAGCCAUCUGGCCUAAUACUGACGCUGAGGUACGAAAGCAUGGGGAGCAAACAGGAUUAGAUACCCCCGUAGUCCCUGUCUCUUAUAC
rnacentral:rRNA from 1 species